rnacentral:rRNA from 1 species
UGCCAGCCGCCGCGGUAAUACGGAGGGUGCAAACGUUGCUCGGAAUCAUUGGGCGUAAAGCGCGUGUAGGCGGCACGCUAAGUCGAGUGUGAAAGCCCUGGGCUCAACCCAGGAAGUGCGCUCGAUACUGGCGAGCUAGAGUACGGGAGAGGGUAGCGGAAUUCCCGGUGUAGAGGUGAAAUUCGUAGAGAUUGGAAGGAACACCGGUGGCGAAAGCGAUGUGCUGGAUCUCUUCUGACGCUGAGGCGCGAAAGCCAGGGUAGCGAACGGGAUUAGAUA